UACGUAGGGUGCAAGCGUUGUCCGGAAUUAUUGGGCGUAAAGAGCGUGUAGGCGGCCAGAUAGGUCCGUUGUGAAAACUCGAGGCUCAACCUCGAGACGCCGAUGGAAACCAUCUGGCUAGAGUCCGGAAGAGGAGAGUGGAAUUCCUGGUGUAGCGGUGAAAUGCGCAGAUAUCAGGAAGAACACCCGUGGCUAAGGCGGCUCUCUAGUACGGUACUGACGCUGAGACGCGAAAGCGUGGGAGCGAACGGG
rnacentral:rRNA from 1 species